UACAUAUUUGUAUGAUCAUCACCAAACCUCUCUUAGUUACUAUUACUUUACAAGCAUUACUAGCAUACUAGAUAUAUCAUGGCACUGGGUGCACUGGUGAAUCUAGCGCUGUGCUUCGUAUGCUCGUCGGUGGAGCUCGUCGCCGUGCUGCUCCUCCGCGGCCUCGCCCUCCUCGCCGUCUCCGCCGUGCAGCUCCUCAGGCUCCCCGGCCAGGCGGGAAGCGCGGCGCUCGAGGUGACCAAGGGCGCCAUCGACGCGGCGGUGGAGCUCGUCUUGGGCGUGGCCUGGGACGUGCUCGCGGCCGUCGUCUCGGCGUUCCUGGACUUCCUGUGGAGCGUGGCCGCGGGCGCCGCGGAGCUCUCGGUGACCGCGGCGACGGAGCUCUUCGAGGCCGCGCAGGACGGCGGCGAGGAGGCCGCCAAGGCCCUCGCGGCGGCGCUGGAGGGCGCGGUGGACGCCGCGGUGGCGGUGGCGACCAGGCUCGUGGAGAGCUACGUGGGCGCGCUUGGGCAAGUCGUGGACAGCCUCAACUCAUGAAGCGUCGACGUAUUAUGUGCAUGUCCGUGGCCACACAUAGGUACACGGCGCCUUCUCUUCCGACUAGAUAGUGGCAGAUCGACCAGGGGGCUGAGGGGGCUCCAGCCCCCUUACCUCCAUGAAAUCCAUGGAGCCCCCCGUAAGCCCAAGGAGGAGGAAGAACAAAGGGAAGAUGAGCUCUCCAAUAUUCAGCUUCUGGAUCCGCCCCUGGUUGUAGACUUAUUUGUUCCUGAGUUAACUAAAUUCUUCAUCUUAUAAGUUCACCGAUAAUCUAUUGUUAUGUCUUUUUAGCCAACUUAUUGUUACGUAGUAUCUUAUGGACUGUAGCAGUGGUAGUUUUUUUCCCACAUUGUAUUUUAUACCUUGGAUUAAUACUUUUGUUACUACUAGAUCAUGUGUUGUCUUUA